UACGUAGGGGGCAAGCGUUGUCCGGAUUAUUGGGCGUAAAGAGCGUGUAGGCGGCUGGGUAGGUCCGUUGUGAAACUCGAGCUCAACCUCGAGACGCCGAUGGAAACCCUCCAGCUAGAGUCCGGAAGAGGAGAGUGGAAAUUCCUGGUGUAGGCGGUGAAAUGCGCAGAUAUCAGGAAGAACACCCGUGGCUAAGGCGGCUCUCUAGUACGGUACUGACGCUGAGACGCGAAAGCGUGGGGAGCGAACAG
rnacentral:rRNA from 1 species